rnacentral:rRNA from 1 species
GAUGAACGCUGGCGGCGUGCCUAAUACAUGCCAGUCGAGCGAACGGACGAGAAGCUUGCUUCUCUGAUGUUAGCGGCGGACGGGCGAGUAACACGUGGAUAACCUACCUAUAAGACUGGGAUAACUUCGGGAAACCGGAGCUAAUACCGGCUAAUAUUUUGUACCGCAUGGUUCAAAAGUGAAAGACGGUCUUGCCGUCACUUAUAGAUGGAUCCGCGCUGCAUUAGCUAGUUGGUAAGGUAACGGCUUACCAAGGCAACGAUGCAUAGCCGACCUGAGAGGAUGAUCGGCCACACUGGAACUGAGACACGGUCCAGACUCCUACGGGAGGCAGCAGUAGGGAAUCUUCCGCAAUGGGCGAAAGCCUGACGGAGCAACACCGCGUGAGUGAUGAAGGUCUUCGGGUCGUAAAACUCUGUUAUUAGGGAAGAACAUAUGUGUAAGUAACUGUGCACAUCUUGACGGUACCUAAUCAGAAAGCCACGGCUAACUACGUG